GGCCCCAGCUGUGGGGAAGGCGGAAUUUGCCUGAUAUCGCAGAGCCCCUGCCUGGCAGCGCCGAGCCUGGACUGAGUUGCCCCAUGCCAAGAUUCAUGCCCGGCAAACAAGUUGCACUUUGUUCCUGUGGGAAAGUCCGGCCUCUCAGGAAAGAGCGGCCCCUGGUCUGGGGACGCGGCAAGGCUAACAAAGCCUCCAUCCGCUGGCGACGACUCGUGGGCCCCAACGUCCACCUCCAUGCUCGCUGUCUACAGGCAAACAGGAAGGACCAAAUGUGAAGAAACGAUGUAGCAGAAGAUGGGACCCAAGGUGCACCAGGAACCCUGUCCCACCUGGUGGGCUCCCAAGGACAGCGCCUUACUGCUACUGUGGAAACACGUGGGUCUGGCCUUGGAUCUGGUGGAUCUUGUGAUUGCUUUCCAAGAAAGUUGGAAAUCUGGAUUUUGCUGUGAAAUUUCUCCACUUGUGAAGAUACAAGGCAAGUCAAUAUGUUGUUUAUGGUAAAGUAAAACCAUACAUACAAUAUGGGAAUGAGAAACACAACAUCCAGUACAGGAGUCACCUCUCAGAGACAGAGAGUAAAGGGGCUGGAAGAGGUGGCCAGGAGGUCAGUAGUCCUGUGUUGGUCUAUUUCUCCAGCUGAGAGAUGGGUGCAUGGAUAUGUGUCACAGGAUUCUUGAUGACUUGGGAGUACAUUAUAUGGAUGCCUACACAGAACCCAUAACACAUGAUUUAAAAGCCACCUGGGAACCAGAUAAAACCUUCUUGGAAGCCAUAGAUAGUGUGUGAUAGCUCAGGGACAGAGGUGAGAAAACUCAGAUUCAAGGAGUUGCACCACAUGUCCAAGGUCAAGCAGUAAGCCAAGGUCACUGUCAGGUCUGGGUCCUGUCAGAAGCAGAGCCUGAGACAAAGGUUUGAGCACAAGUAGCCCCUCAGAACAGCAGCUGUGGAGUGGCACUGAAGGAAGCCAGUGCAGGGUGGAACCCAGCACAGCGGUCAGAGUUCUCCAGAGAGACAGAGCACACAGGCUGCCCAUGCUACCAGACGUAAGAGCGGCUUUGUGGUAUGGAGCUAAAAGUCCUACCACAGGUCACACGAAAGCUGAAGACCCUCAGGUGCUGGCAGCAUGGCCCCACGCAUGUCCGAAGGCCUCUUAGGGCAGAGGGAGCCUAUGAUGUGCCUCUCAGUCCAAGGCUGGGGAAGGGGAUACUGGGGCACAUCCUGGUGUUCAGGGCAGAAGAGUGUCCCAGUUCCCAGAGAGGGUGCAUUUGCAUUUCUUCUGCUUUCUAUUCCAUUGGGACCCCCAGGUGAUUGGGCAGCACUGCCCACACUGUGACUAGAUCUUGCCCACUCAGUCCCCUGACGCACAUGACAAUCAUCUCUAUGUCUCCCCUAGGAACACGCUUACCGACACACUUGGAAAUCACACUUUAGCAACUGUAUGGGUGUCCUUAAUCCAGGGGAGGUGACCCUCAAAAUUGACUAUCACAACAAGCAAGUGGCACCCCAGUGAACCAGAGCUCAGACUUGCUGGGCCUGUGUAGCGCAUAGUGCAAAGCGUGAGCCUCCAGGUUUUCCUGCCUCAGCAUUCUGCUUGCAAGGGCAGAGUCUCUGUGGGAACAGAAAGAGCCCUGAAGACAGAAAGGUGGGGCUGACAUGUCGCAAAACGGAGUCAGGGCGGGUGGUGAGUUUAAUCAGGAUGCUGGCCACAGCUGCUACCACGCCCCAGCUGGAUUCGAACGCCAGGUGGUUGGGCUUCUGUACUGAGGCACCUGUCUACUCAGCGUCUCUUCCCCAGGAACCUCCUUUCUCUACACCCACUGAAAGAAACUCUCCUACAGGAUGGGAGACGUUUAAGCACUGGUAUUUCAACAGUCCCACGUGAUUCUGACCCAUGCCUAAGUUCGAGAACUGUUGACCAAGAAGAAAAAGAGCAGGUUCUUAACCCAGCAUUCAAAGUCACGGCCACAUUCUGCUCCUGCCCUCCCCUCCCUUCCCGUCCCUUCCCAGUGCCUUAGGUCAUGGCCCUUCUACCUGCUGGAAUAUGUCUUAGAGGAACUGCUAGCCCCAAGAUGUCUGAUGCUGGCAGAAAAGUCCAGGGCUGUAAUUUCAGCCUCAGGAUUUAAAUUGACGGUUUCUGAAAUUACUUCACUUAUCUCUUCUUGGCCUUAAGAUUGCUUUUUAUAAAUUGAGAUGAGGGAAAUGUUUCUCUCUUCCACCAAGAGGCAUAAAGGCACCCAAUUCCCUUCUGUAACCCAAAACGUAAGCUUUAAUUUUCCAUUUCCUCCACAGCUAUGGUAAAGCUGUUAAUUUUUAUGCCUGCGCUCUUGUCCCCAUCGUGAAUGUCAAAGCAAUGUGCAAAUGCUUGCUGCUUCCUGUGGUUCCUCUAACUAGAGCCCUGCAAAACAAAUGUGGACAGCCAGAGCCAGAGAUCAUUAGGGCUCCUCUCAAAGAUGAGGGACAAUCUACACAUUUAUGGAGCAUCUGCCACAUGCAGGACAUGGCCCUGGGGUUGGGGACUCUGAGGAAGUCCCAGCCCCAGUCUCUGGGACACAGAUGGGGCAGCACGUGAUCUCCCUCCCGUGUGGAGAGUUAGGUAGUACCUACCAUGCACAGCACAGGCCUGACCGUAUUUGUCAGCCCAGGGAGAUGCCAAGCGCAGUCAUUCGCUCCUCCUUACCCCACCCAGAGGAGUCAGGAUCAUGUCUGGUACACGCUGGGUGUGGAUGUGCAUCCACCCCUGUGAUCCCACAACAUUCUGGGAGGCUGAUCUCAGUGUAGGCUACCUGUGAGACCCUGUAUCAAAAUUUUAAAAACUUUAACAAAUUUUUAAAGGGCUGGGGAUGUAGCUCAGCUCAAAGGUCCUGGGUUUAAUCCCCAGUAACCCUUCCUCUCCCCCAGAAAACAAUGCAGAAUCCAGCAGGGAAAUUUUUUUCUUUUUUGCUAGGCCUCACUUGGCUUUCUUCAGGCCUUUCCAAAGACCACAGUGUGAAGCAUCUUAGCGUGCUCAGUGCUCUGCAGUCAGCUCUAUUUUCUUAAGGAGCUUCAGGGUUCCUGGGGGCACUGGACAGCACACUCUAGUCAAGCACCAAGUUGCUCAUGCCAAAUAUUCUGCUAUUCAUUAAGAAGGCCCCUGGCUGGAGAUGGGCAUGGUGGUGCAUGUCUGUUUGAUAGAUACUCAGGAGUCAGAGGCUGGGGGAUUGUGAGUUCAAGACCAGCCUGGACUAUACAGCAAGGUCCUGUUUCAAAAACAGAAAAAAAGAUAAAGGUCCUGGUUUUUGCAGGGUCAGUGAAAAGGUCAUUCAAAUAAGGGGAGCUGACUUUUUAUCAUCAGACCCUUGGUAAUGAAUACCUCGUGGUUCCUGACAGAGAAGCCCAGGGCUCAUGCCGAGAGGAAGAGAGCACCUCCAGAAGAAGGUUCCUCACUCAUCCUUACCCAUUUGAGGAUGUGUGGGGACAUGGCACACACUGAGUAAAGCAGAACAGAAGACCUUGGGACAAGUCAUCUGAUAGGGUAAAGGGGCCCAAGAAACAGCAGUGUUUAGAUGCCCAUUAGGAAAGGGUUAGAAUCUGAGAUGUUCAAGAACAUGCACAUUGUGGCCUGGUUUCAUCAGGAUGACACAGAGGUAAAGAGGAACACUGUGAAAGUUACGAAGUUUCAUCAGAGACAAAGGCCACGUUGACAAAUUGUUUGGCUUGGAGUUCAGUGACAAAUCUGGUGACCAUGUGCCCUGGUGGGAACUGAGGACUCUGGUACCCCGAAGUCCCCACAAAGACAGAGUUGUCUGUGCCUGGUGUGAAGCUUUGGCCAGCACUGGAGCCUUGAGCCCUCCCAUUCUCUGGGGGUGAUGUACUCCCUGGCCCGUCGGCACUGUCCUGGACAUUCUGGCUGCUGGCAGCCUGCUCAGCAGGUCAAGAAACUGCUAUCAGCCACUCUCGGCCCGUCCUGAUUGCCACCAGCUGAAUCAGACCUGUGGGAGAUCAAUUCCUGUAUUUACCCAGCCCCUCAACAGUGGUUCUCAAACCUGGCCAUGCCUUGGAAGAGCCAGAGGAGCUUCUGAAAAUACCCACACUGAAUCUCACUGGACAGAUGCUAGUGGAUCACUCUGGGUGUUUCCUGGGCAUCAGGAUUUCUAUCAAAGUUCCCAAGGUGAUUCUAAUUGUCAGCUAAAGUUUUGGCCUUGCCCUAGAAGGACAGGAAAGUAGCCUAGUGAACUAUUUCUUUUUUUAAAAACUAAUGAUGUACAUGGUGCCAAAGGGCCUGUGUAAAGACCUGUGUGUUUGCCAAACUUGUUCAACUGUGGGACCCUACUGUCUGUUGGAGAGAACAUCAUGCUGAACACAUGUUAGGGUACUCUGGGAACACAGUCCAGGGUCUACCAAGAAAGAGUUUUCAGACAAGCCAUUUUGUAGGGUGAAGGGGCCUCAUGUUACUGGGAAUAAAGACUCUCCAGACUA